rnacentral:lncRNA from 7 species
GAAGCAAGUAGCUCUAAUCAGCUUUUCCAAAGGAAAUGCCUAGAAAGCUUUUAUAUAGAUCAUGAUUUGUUCAUUUUCUUACUUAGGUGCUUAUUUAUAGCCACGCUCAAAUGCUCCAGGGCUAGCCUUGCUCCGGGAGGGAGAAACCUGUGUCUGGUGCUGUGGGUGGGGGUGUCUGGGGAGAGCGGGGUCACCAAAAUACUGUGCAAGUUUGGACCGUUAUCCAAAAAAAAUACAAGUAUAUCAAUUUUGGGAUGUGAAGCUGAACAGGAAUGGCGUAGGGUUUGCCUCAGCUGCACGCCUGGUGAAAAGUCUGUUCUGAUUCACAUGGGGAAAGCGAGCAGGAGGUGACUCCGGGUGCCUGAAAGCUCGGUGGCGUGGGUAACUCAUCACUACAGCCCAUCCCCUCUGCACACUUUCACCCAUUUCUCAUGAGAAUUGUUUUAUUUUUUACAUAAUAAAUCUCUGCUUUUGUUUGCUCUCUGUAGCAGUGUAACUUCUGAACCAUUACAGGCUCUUUGUUACCAUCUGUGCUAGCAAGACUGUAGAAUGUGCUAGACUAGGGGGGAAUGUUUGACGAAUAAAAAACCUGUAAUCC